UACGAAGGGGGCUAGCGUUGCUCGGAAUCACUGGGCGUAAAGCGCACGUAGGCCGAUUGUUAAGUCAGGGGUGAAAUCCUGGAGCUCAACUCCAGAACUGCCCUUGAUACUGGCGACCUUGAGUCCGGGAGAGGUGAGUGGAACUGCGAGUGUAGAGGUGAAAUUCGUAGAUAUUCGCAAGAACACCAGUGGCGAAGGCGGCUCACUGGCCCGGUACUGACGCUGAGGUGCGAAAGCGUGGGGAGCAAACAGG
rnacentral:rRNA from 1 species